CAGCAUGUAAACAAGAGAGACCAUGCAGGACGCCCGCCACGCCGAACGCUGCUAGUCAUGUAUCAUAAAUAUUAAAGUCAGUAACCAUGCAAUGGCUUUACAUGAACCCAACAACCAAGGGCAUCUACAGCAACACACAACACCACAGGCACUAGCACGAUAUUUGUGGGAGGAGCCGGCCCCUACAAUGUGUGCAGCUAUCCUACACAAUGGGCGCCCGGAGGACCAGGUGACAGACUUGCUCUACCUCGUGGCUUCAUGAGAAAGAGCAAGUUUCAAGUGGAACAGUGUUGCUGUAAAUUCAUGGGUCAGUAGCGACUGACCCCAUUGGCAAGUUUUGCUCUGCUGCUGUGUCUGGUUCAGAGCCAUCCAGAUGUUGAUGGAUGGAGCCUGCCCCUGCGAUGUGUUCAGCUACACAAUGCUCUGCUGGAGGACUAGGUGAUAGACAAUGGCUUCAUGACGUAGAGCAAAACUAGAAGUGGAACAGUGACUCCAAAAACUUGGCAUUAAUCUCAGGGGUCAAUAGCUAGCCACACCACAAGUUUUGCUCUGCUUCUGUGUCUGGUUCACAACUAUCCAGAUAUUUGUGGGUGGAGCCGGCCCCUACAAUGUGUGCAGCUCUCCUACACAAUGAGCGCUCAGAGGACCAGGUGACAGACAUGCUCUACCUCGUGGCUUCAUGAGAAAGAGCAAGUUUCAAGUGGAACAGUGAUGCUGUAAAUUCAUGGGUCAGUAGCGACUGACCCCAAUGGCAAGUUUUGCUCUGCUGCUGUGUCUGGUUCAGAGCCAUCCAGAUGUUGAUGGAUGGAGCCUGCCCCUGCGAUGUGUUCAGCUACACAAUGCUCUGCUGGAGGACUAGGUGAUAGACAAUGGCUUCAUGACGUAGAGCAAAACUAGAAGUGGAACAGUGACUCCAAAAACUUGGCAUUAAUCUCAGGGGUCAAUAGCUAGCCACACCACAAGUUUUGCUCUGCUUCUGUGUCUGGUUCACAACUAUCCAGGGAGCCAGUCAGCCGAGCGGACAGCACACUGGACUUGUGGUCCGGGGUUC
rnacentral:lncRNA from 1 species